rnacentral:rRNA from 1 species
AUUGAACGCUGGCGGCAGGCCUAACACAUGCAAGUCGAACGAGUGGAGGACGGGUGAGUAAUGUCUGGGAAACUGCCCGAUGGAGGGGGAUAACUACUGGAAACGGUAGCUAAUACCGCAUACCAUCGGAUGUGCCUAGAGGUGAUUGGCUUGUAGGGGGGGUAAAGGCUCCCCUAGGCGACGAUCCCUAGCUGGUCCGGGAGGAUGUCGAGCCACACUGGAACGGGGAACCGGUCCCGACUCCAACGGGAGGAGGAGGUGGGAAAGAUUGGACAAGGGGCGCAAGCCGGAUGCAGACAGGCCGGGUGGAUGAGGAGGGUCUUCGGGUGGUAAGGUACUUUCAGAGGGGAGGCGUUACCCACACAAAAAGCACCGGCUAACUCCGUGCCAGCCGCCGCGGUAAUAC